AUUGAACGCUGGCGGCAUGCCUUACACAUGCAAGUCGAACGGUAACGGGCCUUCGGGUGCCGACGAGUGGCGAACGGGUGAGUAAUACAUCGGAACGUGCCCGAUCGUGGGGGAUAACGAGGCGAAAGCUUUGCUAAUACCGCAUACGAUCUACGGAUGAAAGCAGGGGACCGCAAGGCCUUGCGCGGACGGAGCGGCCGAUGGCAGAUUAGGUAGUUGGUGGGAUAAAAGCUUACCAAGCCGACGAUCUGUAGCUGGUCUGAGAGGAUGAUCAGCCACACUGGGACGGAGACACGGCCCAGAAUCCUACGGUAGGCAGCAGUGGGGAAUUUUGGACAAUGGGCGCAAGCCUGAUCCAGCCAUGCCGCGUGCAGGAUGAAGGCCUUCGGGUUGUAAACUGCUUUUGUACGGAACGAAAAGCCUUCUUUUAAUACAGGAGGGUCAUGACGGUACCGUAAGAAUAAGCACCGGCUAACUACGUG
rnacentral:rRNA from 1 species